rnacentral:rRNA from 1 species
AUUGAACGCUGGCGGCAUGCCUUACACAUGCAAGUCGAACGGCAGCGCGGACUUCGGUCUGGCGGCGAGUGGCGAACGGGUGAGUAAUACAUCGGAACGUACCCUGUUGUGGGGGAUAACUAGUCGAAAGAUUAGCUCAUACCGCAUACGACCUGAGGGUGAAAGUGGGGGACCGCAAGGCCUCAUGCAGCAGGAGCGGCCGAUGUCUGAUUAGCUAGUUGGUGGGGUAAAGGCCCACCAAGGCGACGAUCAGUAGCUGGUCUGAGAGGACGAUCAGCCACACUGGGACUGAGACACGGCCCAGACUCCUACGGGAGGCAGCAGUGGGGAAUUUUGGACAAUGGGGGCAACCCUGAUCCAGCAAUGCCGCGUGUGUGAAGAAGGCCUUCGGGUUGUAAAGCACUUUUGUCCGGAAAGAAAUCGCGCUGGUUAAUACCUGGCGUGGAUGACGGUACCGGAAGAGUAAGCACCGGCUAACUACGUGCCAGCAGCCGCAGUAA